rnacentral:rRNA from 1 species
AGUGAGCGCUGGCGGUAGGCCUAACACAUGCGAGUCGAACGGCAGCACAGUAAGAGCUUGCUCUUACGGGUGGCGAGUGGCGGACGGGUGAGGAAUACAUCGGAAUCUACUUUUUCGUGGGGGAUAACGUAGGGAAACUUACGCUAAUACCGCAUACGACCUACGGGUGAAAGCAGGGGAUCUUCGGACCUUGCGCGAUUGAAUGAGCCGAUGUCGGAUUAGCUAGUUGGCGGGGUAAAGGCCCACCAAGGCGACGAUCCGUAGCUGGUCUGAGAGGAUGAUCAGCCACACUGGAACUGAGACACGGUCCAGACUCCUACGGGAGGCAGCAGUGGGGAAUAUUGGACAAUGGGCGAAAGCCUGAUCCAGCCAUACCGCGUGGGUGAAGAAGGCCUUCGGGUUGUAAAGCCCUUUUGUUGGGAAAGAAAAGCAGCAGGUUAAUACCCCGCUGUUCUGACGGUACCCAAAGAAUAAGCACCGGCUAACUUCGUG